rnacentral:tRNA from 1 species
UCCUAGUUCGUCUAACGGUUUAAGAUACGGCACUUUCAUUAUGUAAGCAUUACCUAAUUAGGGCUGCUGAGAUCGGGGUUCGAUUCCCCGGCUGGGAA